GACGAACGCUGGCGGCGUGCUUAACACAUGCAAGUCGAACGGAAAGGCCCUGCUUUUGUGGGGUGCUCGAGUGGCGAACGGGUGAGUAACACGUGAGUAACCUGCCCUUGACUUUGGGAUAACUUCAGGAAACUGGGGCUAAUACCGGAUAGGAGCUCCUGCUGCAUGGUGGGGGUUGGAAAGUUUCGGCGGUUGGGGAUGGACUCGCGGCUUAUCAGCUUGUUGGUGGGGUAGUGGCUUACCAAGGCUUUGACGGGUAGCCGGCCUGAGAGGGUGACCGGCCACAUUGGGACUGAGAUGCGGCCCAGACUCCUACGGGAGGCAGCAGUGGGGAAUUUUGCACAAUGGGCGGAAGCCUGAUGCAGCAACGCCGCGUGCGGGAUGACGGCCUUCGGGUUGUAAACCGCUUUCGCCUGUGACGAAGCGUGAGUGACGGUAAUGGGUAAAGAAGCACCGGCUAACUACGUG
rnacentral:rRNA from 1 species